GUAGUUGAACCACCGUCGAGCGACGUCGCGACUUGUAAAUGGCUGCCAACUCAUCGCGAUGUUAAUACACGUCGGAAGUAUUUGAUACAUUCCUUCAGACUGUCUACACGUGAGGUGUGAGAAGAAAGAAGUAUUCUCGUUAACCAUUUUGUGCGUAUUUAUUAAAUCUGUAAAAGAAUAUUUCCCGUGGUAAACGAAUACAGAAUGGCGGGCAAGACUCUCGUCGCCGUUGCGCUUCUCUCCCUUUUCGCAAACGUACGGGCGAUUAUGUUCUACUUAGAGCCCAACGCCGAGAAGUGUUUGAGGGAAGAAGUUCAGGCCAACGUUCUUGUCUCCGGUGAAUACGAGGUUUCUGAAGCUACUGGACAGACUGCUAAUUUCAUCGUAACCGACUCCAAAGGACACACACUUUCCAAAAAGGAAGAUAUUUCACGUGGAAAGUUUUCCUUCGUCACCGAAACCUUCGACACCUUCCAAAUAUGCUUCACAUCUCAUGUUCCCCCUCAUAUGCGAGGAAUAAAGCAAGAAGUCGCGUUGAAUAUCAAGCGAGGGAUUGAGGCGAAAAGCUACGAAGGGGCGAUUGGCGAAGCAGCCAAGCUUAAACCUAUGGAAGUGGAGCUGAAGCGUCUUGAGGAUUUAUCCGAAUCCAUUGUUCAGGCCUUUUCCUGGAUGCGCAAAAACGAGGAAGAGAUGAGAGACACAAAUGAGUCGACUAACAGUAGAGUAUUGUACUUCAGCAUAUUCUCAAUGUGUUGUCUCCUGGGUCUGGCGACCUGGCAGGUUCUCUAUUUGCGGCGUUUUUUCAAAGCGAAGAAACUGAUCGAGUAGAUGAAAAGAAUGAGAAUGACGUACAAAUAAAAAUAAUCCUUCGCAAAUUGAAAUGGGAACGAAUGUAAUAAGCCUCAAGGCUGCAAGAAUUCAAUCGGGUGAUUGCAUGGAAAAUCUUUUACGCUCGGCACCAUUCGUUGUACCUUAAUUAUAUAUUGUACAUACAUACAAUUAUUAAGUAACGCCGCUGAAACAAUGUUUGGCAAAACAGCUAUACUGAAAGUUUUGUAUUUUGAAAAUAGAAAAGAAGGGGAAAAAACAAACAAACAAGAAACGUAUGCAAAAAGCUGAAAAAAAAUUUGAAGCAUAUUUACUGAAAUAAGUAUAAAACAAUGAACGGUAAACGAUUAUUUAUUUAUACGUUAAACAAUAUUUCACAUAGGAAUCAUCGACAACCUACUUCGUGUGUAUUCACACAGAUGUAGACAUAAAUACAUACAUUAUCGGUAAUAUACAAUGUAUGGUUUUUUUUUUUUUUUUUGUUAAAGAGUAAAAAUGAAAUCCGGGAACACCUUAUGUGUUGUUUUAGAUUUACGGCCUAUCUAUUUCACCUAUGUUUCGUUGACCUAAAUUGAUUUUAUUCAAAAAAUAAACGAAACCGCGGUGUCAUGAGGAAGCACGUGACUUGUGAGUGACGUCAUUGGAAGAUGGCCGUUCUCGGGUGAAAAUGAGUAGAAAAGGUUGCUUUUCGACUCUAAAACGGGUUACGAGCUAUCUGAAAUUGGUGUAAUUUCCGAAAGUGGAGUGGAGAAAAAAUAACCUACAAACUUGAUUCUGCGACAAUCAUUGAAAGUGAAUCGACAUGUCGGAAGAUUGGCAAAGCGUGGUUACAGCCAGAGACCGUGAUUGUUUGGGUUGUAGGUUAGUAAGCGGGGGCGGAUUGAUCGGUGCCGGUAUUUACGUCGCUUACCAUUCGAAACAAUUUAACAAAACUACUGGAAAAUCAGUGAUGUUCUCCUUUGCGGCCGUAUUAGCCGGUCUCGGGACUGCUAGAAUCAUGAAAUUGCCGCCGUUCGAUAGUUUCGGAAACGCCUGACUGUACAGGGAAUUCGAAUCUGGAAGGACGUGAACAUUUUUUAACGAUGAAAUAAAAUUGCGACGAACAAAGUCGACCCUUUCCGUAUUUGAGGAAUAAAACAUGUUCGAAGACUC
rnacentral:misc_RNA from 1 species